CUCCUUUGACGUUAGCGGCGGACGGGUGAGUAACACGUGGGUAACCUACCUAUAAGACUGGGAUAACUUCGGGAAACCGGAGCUAAUACCGGAUAAUAUUUCGAACCGCAUGGUUCGAUAGUGAAAGAUGGUUUUGCUAUUACUUAUAGAUGGACCCGCGCCGUAUUAGCUAGUUGGUAAGGUAACGGCUUACCAAGGCGACGAUACGUAGCCGACCUGAGAGGGUGAUCGGCCACACUGGAACUGAGACACGGUCCAAACUCCUACGGGAGGCAGCAGAU
rnacentral:rRNA from 1 species